rnacentral:rRNA from 1 species
GACGAACGCUGGCGGCGUGCUUAACACAUGCAAGUCGAACGGUAAGGCCCUUCGGGGUACACGAGUGGCGAACGGGUGAGUAACACGUGGGUGAUCUGCCCUGCACUUCGGGAUAAGCCUGGGAAACUGGGUCUAAUACCGGAUAGGACCCUGGGAUGCAUGUCCUGGGGUGGAAAGCUUUUGCGGUGUGGGAUGGGCCCGCGGCCUAUCAGCUUGUUGGUGGGGUGAUGGCCUACCAAGGCGACGAGGGGUAGCCGGCUGGAGAGGUGGGCCGGCCACACUGGGAAUGAGAUCCGGCCCAGCUUCCUACGGGAGGCAGCAGUGGGGAAUAUUGCACACUGGGCGCAAGCCUGAUGCAGCGACGCCGCGUGAGGGAUGACGGCCUUCGGGUUGUAAACCUCUUUCAGCACCGACGAAGCGCAAGUGACGGUAGGUGCAGAAGAAGGACCGGCCAACUACGUGCCAGCAGCCGCCGUAA